rnacentral:rRNA from 1 species
CCUACGGGUGGCAGCAGUGGGGGAUAUUGCACAAUGGGGGGAACCCUGAUGCAGCGACGCCGCGUGGGUGAAGAAGCGCCUCGGCGCGUAAAGCUCUGUCAGCAGGGAAGAAAAUGACGGUACCUGAUGAAGAAGCCGCGGCUAACUACGUGCCAGCAGCCGCGGUAAUACGUAGGGGGCAACCGUUAUCCGGAUUGACUGGGUGGAAAGGGGGCGCAGACGGCGAUGCAGGCCAGGAGUGAAAGCCCGGGGCCCGACCCCGGGACUGCUCGUGGAACUGCGUGGCUGGAGUGCAGGAGGGGCAGGCGGAAUUCCUGGUGUAGCGGUGAAAUGCGUAGAUAUCAGGAGGAACACCAGUGGCGAAGGCGGCCUGCUGGACUGCAACUGACGUUGAGGCCCGAAAGCGUGGGGAGCAAACAGGAUUAGAUACCCCAGUAGUC